GAUGAACGCUGGCGGCGUGCCUAAUACAUGCAGGUCGAGCGAACAGACGAGGAGCUUGCUCCUCUGACGUUAGCGGCGGACGGGUGAGUAACACGUGGAUAACCUACCUAUAAGACUGGGAUAACUUCGGGAAACCGGAGCUAAUACCGGAUAAUAUAUUGAACCGCAUGGUUCAAUAGUGAAAGACGGUUUUGCUGUCACUUAUAGAUGGUUCCGCGCCGCAUUAGCUAGUUGGUAAGGUAACGGCUUACCAAGGCAACGAUGCGUAGCCGACCUGAGAGGGUGAUCGGCCACACUGGAACUGAGACACGGUCCAGACUCCUACGGGAGGCAGCAGUAGGGAAUCUUCCGCAAUGGGCGAAAGCCUGACGGAGCAACGCCGCGUGAGUGAUGAAGGUCUUCGGAUCGUAAAACUCUGUUAUUAGGGAAGAACAAAUGUGUAAGUAACUAUGCACGUCUUGACGGUACCUAAUCAGAAAGCCACGGCUAACUACGUG
rnacentral:rRNA from 1 species